GUUUGAUCCUGGCUCAGGACGAACGCUGGCGGCGUGCUUAAUACAUGCAAGUCGAACGGAGCUUAGCCGAUAGUUUACUAGAGGCGAAAGCUUAGUGGCGGACGGGUGAGUAACGCGUGGGUAAUCUGCCCCUAAGCCCGGGAUAACAGAGCGAAAGUUCUGCUAAGACCGGAUACACUUCUCUAAUUGCAUAAUCGGAGAAGGAAAGGAAACGCUUAGGGAUGAGCCCGCGUCCCAUUAGCUAGUUGGUGAGGUAACGGCCCACCAAGGCGACGAUGGGUAGCCGGCCUGAGAGGGUGGACGGCCACACUGGGACUGAUGACACGCCCAAGACUCCUACGGGAGGGCAGCAGUAGGGAAUUUUCCGCAAUGGGCGCAAGCCUGACGGAGCAACGCCGCGUGAGGGACGAAGGUCUUCGGAUCGUAAACCUUUGUCAAUGAGGACGAUAAUGACGGUACUCGAUGAGGAAGCCCCGGCUAACUACGUGCCAGCAGCCGCGGUAACACGUAGGGGGCGAGCGUUGUCCGGAAUUACUGGGCGUAAAGGGCGCGUAGGCGGCCUAAUAAGUCAAAUGUGAAACCCCUGGGCUUAACCCUGGGCUUGCAUUAGUAACUGUUGGGCUUGAGGGCAGGAGAGGAAAGCGGAAUUCCCAGUGUAGCGGUGAAAUGCGUAGAUAUUGGGAGGAACACCAGUGGCGAAGGCGGCUUUCUGGACUGAACCUGACGCUGAGGCGCGAAAGCCAGGGUAGCGAACGGGAUUAGAUACCCCGGUAGUCCUGGCCGUAAACGAUGGAUACUAGGUGUGGGAGGUAUCGACCCCUUCCGUGCCGCAGCAAACGCAAUAAGUAUCCCGCCUGGGGAGUACGGCCGCAAGGCUGAAACUCAAAGGAAUUGACGGGGGCCCGCACAAGCGGUGGAGCAUGUGGUUUAAUUCGAUGCAACGCGAAGAACCUUACCAGGUCUUGACAUCCCUCUGACGUAUACAGAGAUGUAUAUUCUCUUCGGAGCAGAGGAGACAGGUGGUGCAUGGCUGUCGUCAGCUCGUGUCGUGAGAUGUUGGGUUAAGUCCCGCAACGAGCGCACCCCUAUGCUUAGUUGCACGGUGAGGCCGGGCACUCUAAGGAACUGCCGGUGACAAAUCGGAGGAAGGGUGGGGAAUGACGUCAAGUCAUUCAUGCCCUUAUUGACCUGGGCUACACACGUGCUACAAUGGCCGGUACAGAGCGCAGCAAAGCCGUGAGGUGGAGCGAAUCGCAAAAAGCCGGUCUCAGUUCGGAUCGGAGGCUGCAACUCGCCUCCGUGAAGUCGGAAUCGCUAGUAAUCUCGGGUCAGCAUACCGAGGUGAAUACGUUCCCGGGCCUUGUACACACCGCCCGUCACACCACGAAAGUCAA
rnacentral:rRNA from 1 species